rnacentral:tRNA from 1 species
GCAGUGGUGGUUUAGUGGUAGAAUUCUCACCUUUCAUGCAGGAGACCUGGGUUCAAUUCCUGGCCAGUGCA